rnacentral:rRNA from 1 species
UACGUAGGGACCAAGCGUUGUUCGGAUUUACUGGGCGUAAAGGGCGCGUAGGCGGCAAUUCAAGUCAGUUGUGAAAUCUCCGAGCUUAACUCGGAACGGUCAAGUGAUACUGUCGGACUGAGAGUACAGAAGGGGCAACUGGAAUUCUCGGUGUAGCGGUGAAAUGCGUAGAUAUCGAGAGGAACACCUGCGGCGAAGGCGGGUUGCUGGGCUGACACGUGACGCUGGAGGCGCGAAAGCUAGGGGAGCGAACGGG